GAUCAUGGCUCAGGACGAACGCUGGCGGCGUGCUUAACACAUGCAAGUCGGAACGAGAAUCUGCUGAAGGAGGAUUCGUCCAACGGAAGUAGAGGAAAGUGGCGGACGGGUGAGUAACGCGUGAGGAACCUGCCUUGAAGAGGGGGGACAACAGUUGGAAACGACUGCUAAUACCGCAUGACGCAUAGGGGUCGCAUGAUCUUUAUGCCAAAGAUUUAUCGCUUCAAGAUGG
rnacentral:rRNA from 1 species